ensembl:snRNA U6 U6 spliceosomal RNA
GUGCUCGCUUUGGCAGCACAUAUAUUAAAACUGGAAUGAUAUAGAGAUGAUUAGCAUGGCCCCUGUGCCAGGAUGACAUGCAAAUUUGUGAAGCAUUCCAUUAAUUA